GGAAAACAGUCUCCAGAGCUGAUACUUGAAAGUCAAGCUGGCAAACAGGGAAAUGGCACAUGCUAAAACUGACAAUGCAGAUGACCUGCAGAAGAAGCUGAUACCUUUUGCUAUACAGCUGCACAUGUGCCUGGCCCAGGACUCAAAAAAAGCUAAAGAAAGAUAUGCAGUAGAAAGUGGAAGAGCUGAAAUCCCAGCUGCUGCCCAAUGCCAAUAAAGUAGCAUGGAGGUCACUUAAAAUGUGAGCAAGAUACAACAGU
rnacentral:lncRNA from 1 species